UAGUUGACAGACGACAAGAACAGUCCGUCCCAUUUAACAACGCUCAGUCCGACCUGAGCAUUUGUAUUGGAACAUAGCCUGCAUCUCAAUGUGCAUAUCCAAAAUAGUAUGUGACAUUAGUAACAUUCAACACAAUUUAGGGUGGACAGUAUGCACAUUGGGAUGCAGGGACAGUUUUGGUUUGAUCAGUUGUCGCCUCGCAGUGAUUACGUCACCACGACGCCAUCAGUCUGCAGCAUCUGAUCUUCUGAGGUGAGCUGAGCAGUUCACGGUGCAGCGUAUAUUUAUCUAACAAUCUGCUCUACACAGGAAUUCCCCUUUUGUGAAACUUCUACAACAAUUCACCAAUAAAUUCUGGAAUAUUCCCAUUAUCUUACAAGUGAAGAACAUGAAUGCUCCAGAACCCUACCGAAUAAAACAUGAAGACACUGAAGAACAAGACCAGAAGGAAGAAUAUGAGGAGACUGAAGAAUUUACUGAAGUUAAGGAAAAACAGGAUGUCAAAUCUGUAAAACAAACUUCAAGCCACACACUGAAAAGAAGAGCCAAACAAUCUUAUACCUGCACUCAGUGUGGAAAGAGCUUUUCACACAAACAAAAUCUGAAACAUCACACAAGAGUUCAUAGUGGAGAGAAACCUUUCACAUGUGAUCAGUGUGGGAAUAGUUUCACACGAAAAGGAUCUCUUGAAGAUCACAUGAAAAUCCACACUGGAGAGAAGCCGCACACAUGCGAUCAGU